rnacentral:ncRNA from 1 species
CAUCGCGAGAUAGAAUCUGAAGGAAGCCGGCGGCAAACAUCUGGUCUGACGAACAGAAACUUCAUACAAGGCAUGUGACCGUGGGUAAGGUUGCAUAACAAACUGAAGCCCAAUAGCUAUUCGGAACGGUCGGUGUAAAUGAAGCAGACAUAAGAUGGAAAGUUAAU